ensembl:lncRNA
UUUUAUUUUAUUUUAUUUUAUUUUAUUUUAUUUUAUUUUAUUUUAUUUUAUUUUAUUUCAUUUUAUUUAAUUUCAUUUCAUUUCAUUUCAUUUUAUUCCAUUUCAUUUCAUUUUCAUUAUCACUCACCUCUCCCUUUAAUUAUCCCCCCGCCCAUUUCCGCCUUCAUUAAUUCCCGCCCCCUUAAUUAAUUCAUUAACCCUUAAUAACCCCCCGCUGCUCUUUUAUGGCGCGGCUCCGCGGCACGCAAAUUUAUGGUAAUCCAUGCAAAUUUAUGCAAAUGAACCCCCCCCGGACGGCUUUUGAGGCGCGGCCCCGCUCGGAGCCCGCGGCUCCUCCGGGAGAAAAAAUCCCUGGAAAAAAAACCGGGAUCGGCGGGAAAAGGAAAAAAAAUCCCAGGAAUCUCCUUUUCCCCCUUUUUUUCACGACAACUCAUCCCUGAAACUUCGCUUUUGGCUCGGAUUUAUGGAAAAAAUUCCUUCAGCUCCUUUUUUUUCUCCCUCCUUUUAAGGAAAACUCUCCCUAAACCUUUUUUUUCCUCUUCUUUUUAAGGGAAAAUCCCUCAAAUCCCCAUUUUUUUCCCAGGGAAAAUUCCCGAAGCUCCUUCCCCUCCCAUUUUUUGGGGGAAUCCUCCCUAAAUCCUCAUUUCCCGCCCGGAUUUUUUGGGGAUAAAUCCCCGGAAUUCGCUUUUCCUGCUCUUUUUUCUCCUCCCAAAUCCUCGUUUUUCCCUCCCCUCCCCCCCCAUGGAUCCUCUCUCCGCCUGAACCCCUCCCCCAUUCCCAAUUUUCCCCACUUUUUUCCCACUUUUUCCCACUUUUCCCCACUUUUUUCCCACUUUUUCCCACUUUUUCCCACUUUUUCCCACUUUUUCCCCACUUUUUCCCCACUUUUUCCCCACUUUUCCCCAUUUUUCCCCACUUUUCCCCACUUUUUCCCCACUUUUUCCCCACUUUUCCCACUUUUUCCCACUUUUUCCCACUUUUUCCCACUUUUUCCCCACUUUUCCCCACUUUUUCCCACUUUUUCCCACUUUUCCCACUUUUCCCCACUUUUUCCCCACUUUUUCCCACUUUUUUCCCACUUUUUUCCCACUUUUUUUCCACUUUUUCCCCACUUUCCCCCACUUUCCCCCCACUUUUCCCCAUUUUCUCCAACUUUUUCCCACUUUUUCCCACUUUUUUCCCCACUUUUUCCCCACUUUUUCCCACUUUAUCCCCACUUUUUGCCACUUUUCCCCAUUUUUCCCACUUUUUCCCACUUUUUCCCCACUUUUUCCCACUUUUCCCCACUUUUUUCCCAUUUUUUCCCAUUUUUUCCCCACUUUUCCCAUUUUUCCCCAUUUUUUCCCACUUUUUCCCCAUUUUCCCCACUUUUCCCCAUUUUUCCCCAUUUUCCCCACUUUUCCCCACUUUUCCCUGCGGAUCCCUGUGGAUCUCCGCCCUCCCAGGGUCCCUUUGCCCCGGGAUCCUUUGGGAUCCCUGGGGAUCUCCGCUCUCCCUGCGGAUCCCUGAAUUCCAGGGGGAUCCCCGGGGUUUUCCGGGGGGUUUCCCUUCCCCUCCCGCCUCGGGAUCCCCUCGGGAUUGGCCGGAGCCUGCUGGGAUCCUCUGGGAUCCUCUGGGAUCCUCUGGGAUCCUUUGGGAUCUCUGCUCUUCCCCAUCUCCAGGGGGGCUCCGUCCUUCCCCUCGGGCUCCCCGGGAUCGGUCGGGAUCCCCGGGAUCUGUUGGGAUCCCCAGGUUUGUGCAGGCUCCCCAGGCUCGGUUGGGAUCCCCAGGACCAGUUGGGAUCUCUCAGUCUCCCCCGUCAGGAUCCCCAGGAUCUCCUGGGAUCCCUCAUUCUCCCCAGUCAGGAUCCCCAGGAUCUCCUGGGAUCCCUCAGUCUCCCCAGUCAGGAUCCCCAGGGUCUCCCCAGGAUCCCUGGGAUCCCCAGACUCCUUCAGGCUCAUUCAGGAUCCCCGGGAUCUUUGAGUGUCCCCAGUCAGGAUCUCCCCAGGAUCCCCAGUCUCGUUCAGGCUCAUUCAGGAUCUCCCCAGUCCCUCCCAGUCCCUCCCCGUCUCUCCCAGUCCCUGUCCCCAGUCCCUCCCAGUCCCUCCCAGU